rnacentral:rRNA from 1 species
GAUCCUACGGGACGCAGCAGUGAGGAAUAUUGGUCAAUGGUCGGGAGACUGAACCAGCCAAGCCGCGUGAGGGAUGAAGGUACAGAGUAUCGUAAACCUCUUUUGUCAGGGAACAAAGGCGGGGACGUGUCCCCGGAUGAGUGUACCUGGAGAAAAAGCAUCGGCUAACUCCGUGCCAGCAGCCGCGGUAAUACGGAGGAUGCGAGCGUUAUCCGGAAUUACUGGGUGUAAAGGGAGUGUAGGCGGGAAAGCAAGUCAGAAGUGAAAACUAUGGGCUUAACCCAUAGCCUGCUUUUGAAACUGUU